AGUGGGAGCGUGGGGUAAGAAG
rnacentral:miRNA from 1 species